rnacentral:rRNA from 1 species
AUGAAUAUGGAUCCAUCCUUCUGUGCUAAUGAAGGGGUGGAUGUAAUAAGGCUGCUGGCAAUGCAUGGAUGCUUAGAUGAGAAAAGAAAUGGCAAGGAAACAGAGGGCGCAGGACUACUAGAGGCAAAGACAGACGGACGCGGUCGGAGCAGUAUGGCAGCGUCGAUGGGGAUGGAGGAGCGCACAGAGAUGCUGCGGAGCACUGCUGAUGAGCUUGUCGGCAGGACGAGCUGCACUCACUGCUGCACGGCAACCCCGGCCCGGUCUGCUUCGACAGGUUUGAGCCCUCCGUCACCGACCGCGUGCACAUCUAGCAGGGUGUUGGGAAGGUGA